AAACAAAAAAAAAAAAAAAAUGACAUAUAUAAAGCACCACUCUAGUCAGAUUUUCCCUCGGAAAAAAAAGUGCUUUAAUUUAAAAUCGGAGCGCAAUUGCCGGUAGAUAAAUUGUCCGCAGAAAGAAAUAUGAAAUACACACCAUUGUAAAACCAAAACAUUUCUCGCUCCACUCGAAACCUAAAAUACAGUUUAAUUGCCGGCGCAGUCACAAAACUCAC